rnacentral:rRNA from 1 species
UUGAAUGUCAAAACGACUCUCGGCAACGGAUAUCUCGGCUCUCGCAUCGAUGAAGAACGUAGCGAAAUGCGAUACUUGGUGUGAAUUGCAGAAUCCCGUGAACCAUCGAGUCUUUGAACGCAAGUUGCGCCCGAAGCCUCAGGGCCGAGGGCACGCCUGCCUGGGCGUCAUGCAUCGCG